ACUAAAGGCUUACCACCCAAUGUGUUCAUGGAACACAUAGCCGGCAUGGGUUUAAGGGAAAGCCUGUGAUUUCUGGAGAAUAAAAAGGGCCCAAAAGAUAAAGAAUUUGUUUCAAAACAGUGAUGUAUAUGGUAGCUGUUGACUCUAUCGGUCUUGGACCGUGACGAUAAAGCAUGCUCUAUUUAUCAAUCUGUGAUGGAACAACUAAAGGAAAAAGUUUCAUGUUAAAGUAUAAAGUUAAAGUACAAAGUGAGAUCAAGGGGGAGAAUGUUGGAUUGAUCUUUUUCCUAAUAGACCCAACGGUCUAUUAGGCCCCUAAUCCGCGCCCUGAUCGGGGGCGCCCAACCCUUAAUGGUUGGUGGGCCCCCGCUGCACAACGCUAAAAUAAAAAGGGGUGAAGGGGCCAGGGCACGCACAACGAAGUUCGUCGCGCCGCUAGUACCCUCUCCCACAUCCUAAACCCUAGCCGAUCUUGAAAGAGCGCUGGAGCAGCGGGAAGCCCCACCUUCGCCUUCUUCACUGCAGCCGACUCCUUCCCGCCGUCCCCGUCACCGUCCUCGACACCGUCGGCUCGGCGUCGACCUCUCUGCUUCACUCAUCGCCGCCCUUGAGCGGAUCUCCAUCAACGAACCCGAGAUGGCCGCCGGAUCGAGCUCCACUGGUGGUACAGAAGGUCAGCUCUCCUCAUCAGCAAUCUGACGAAGUGAGUUAACGUUCGAGAAGGAUAGGAGCAGGUGGAAUUUUGCAGCCGGCCAAAGCUAAGAGGAAUAAUUAAAGAGACCAACACUGCAUGAGGCAGGACCGCAGGAGCUGAUUAUUUUUUCUUCCCGGAGUCCAUCAUCAAUGGGAUAUUAGUUGAAAGUCAAUUUAUUGCGACACGGACUGAACUUCUGCAUAAAUUGGAUGUUAGACAGAUAUGUCAUGUAUAGGUGAAUUUUCUUCAGAAAAAAAAUGAUGUGCUACAAGCAAAAUAUGACCUAUGCAAAUUCUGUGUCUUCUUCGUAACUCUUAUAAUAUUAAUAUG